UGGCCCAAACAACAGGCCGUGGGAGUGUUAACGCCGAGCGGCGCAUCUCGCUGUCUCGCGAAGCAAAAGCAACCCUAGCCGCCGCCGGUUCUUGCUCCCUGUCCCCUCUCCCCCGCAACGCUGCCACCGAAGGGGUGCCGGCGAUGCCCGCGCACGCCCAGGGGAGGUGGCGGCAGUGCGGGCUUCCUCCCCUCGCGGCGCCUGUCCCUCCCGGAUUCCGCGGCACGGUGGAGCUUUUAUCAACGGCGAAAGGGGGCGGCGUGGCUACAUGCGGGCGGCGCAGGGCUCGCGCCGGUGUGCGCGCUGGGUGCUGCGGAGGCUCCUGGCCGGCGGCUUGGUCCGACAAGGCCAGAUCCGUCGUGCUGGCGCUGUCGGGGCGUGUGGGGCCAGAUCCGAUGGUGGUGGUGCCGGUCGGCUUUCGGGUGGCCUGCAAGUCGGAGGCGGGCCAAAGGCUGCGACUUGUCCCUUGCGGGCAGCGGCAGCGGUGGAGUGCGGCUGUGGUGGCCGCAGUGGUUCGGAUCCGGCUGAUAAGGACCGGAAUCGGGGUCGAACACUAGUGGAUUUCCCUCCCUUUGGUACGGGACUCGUUGGUAUGAUUCCCUUGGCAGCUCCUGGACGGGUUCGGGGUCCGUGGUCAAAGGCCGGGGAGAAAUCUCUGCGUGGCUGUUUGCCUACGCCGAUGACAUGACGGUUGCGGCCGCCAUGACCUUCUUGGAGGCGUCGUUGUGGCUCGACUGCGGCUUCCUCCUCCUUUGGCGCCGGGGGAAACCCUUGGCUUGGUUGACGGACGUGACAACGGUGGCGCUCAAUGUCGUUUUCCUCUCUUGAGAGCGUUUUCUUGGUGGCCUUGGAGCCCUUCAGCGAGCAUGUUUGCUGUGGGGGAUUGUCCCGGUUCCAUGCCCGGGACGUUGGCCUUCGUGGCGCAAUGUACGCACCUUGGACAAUCUCUUUAUUCAGCUCCGGCCUGCGGCUACCCACUUGCCGAUCUUCUCUCUUGGCGUGAUGGUGGGCUACAUCGUCCGUCUUCGAGAGGCUUGGCGGCGGGCGUGCAGCGGUUGUGGUCCUGUGAGCAACUUUUUCAUCUUUUAGGCUUGUUGUUGUGCAGGGUUUUGUGGUGGUUGUUACUGGGUUUUGGUCCAAACUAGUUAGGGACGGUGGUGUGGUUUCUUUUUGGGUUAAUUGGAUCUAUGCCACUCUCUAUUUCACCGGCUGGAGAUAUGCCAUUACAAAACUUGAUUUAGAGAAAUGCCACUUUUAACUUUCUUAUACCUCUAUCAAUGCCAUUCUAUCCACUUAAAACCAUUAAGUGUUCAAAAAUACAUGUAUUAAGUGUACAACAAUAUUUACCAUAAUACUCCUAUUUAUAAUGUUCAGUGGUACGUUCGAGUCUUCAAGGCACCAUAAAAGUUAAAAAAAUUCAAAUUUGACCCAAAAUUCAAUAUUCUUAGAAAAAUUUAUAAAAAUUACAGAAAAUAAAAAACAGUAAUAUGAGUCCACUGUUGGGGACGGGAUAUGAGGAACGCGUGAGGAAUAAGAAGAAUAAAACUGUUUGACUUGGGAUGGGAAAAAAAUUGUUUGUAUUGAAAGAAAAUGGCAUGAACAGAGAUAUAAAAAAGUUACAGCCCGUUUGGCAACCAAGAAUUCAUUUCAUUUGGUAGAAAUGAAAUGAAAUCCAAUUUUUUAUAGGAUUUCUUGAGUUUGAAUUCUGGGUUCAAAAAUCAUGUUUGUCUAUCACAUGAAAUGUAGAGUGAGAGACAAUUCUAGAGAAAUGAUGGUUUUUAGAGAGGAAUUGGGUUUAGUUAUACUGUAAUUUCAUGAAAUUUGAGAUUGGAUUCAUAUGGCCAAUUUCGUGCCACCCAAACAAGUUGGUUUUUGGAAUUCAUUUUAAAUUCUAGAAUUCUAUGCCCAAAUGAUGGUGCCAAACGAGCUGUUAGAGUGGCAUUUUUUCAAGUCAAGUUUUUGUAAUGGUACAUGUGCAGCCGGUGGAAAUUAUAAUGGCAAAUAUCCAAUUGACCCUUUCUCUUUUGCCGCUGGUUGGGGUUGUUCUUGCAGUUUCGGCCUUGUACCAGCCUUCUCACUAUUCUUCGAUUGAUGAUACCCGCUCGGUUGCAUUCUUGAAAAGAACAACCCGGCGGAGCUCGAUUCCGGUGGCGGCUCGAAGCGGCAGCGGCUGGAUGAGGAAGGGGAGCAAUCACAGCGAGAUGUGGGGAAGGCACGGAAGGACCACAUCUCGACCCUGCGUCCCUGCCGGAGGACCUGCGGCUGGACAUACCCGUGCUCCUCCCCCUCAAAUCCGCCAUCCACACCGCGCGCUCUCCACCAAGUGGCGCGCGCUCUGGACGUUCCGUUGGCCGGAGCCCUCCCUGGAAUUCCGCGUCCCUGACCCCUGGCGUCCCCCCUCGAGCUCGACUGCAGGGAUCUCUACGGCUGCCUCGACUACGCCGCCGCCUGCGCCGUCAUGGACCUCGGCGUCCACCUCUCCUACUCCUGCAAGGUCAUUUAUAACAGCAUCAAGUUCGACCUGCCGCCGGGCAACCCACACCUCGAGUGCCUCUCCCUCAGCGGCCCCCUUGUCUGCUUCCCCCCCACCGACUCCCGCGCCUACUCUGCCCUCAGAGGCUCAGAGCCAUACACCUCCACGGCGUCAGGAUCUACGACACCGACCUCUUCAACCUGGUAGCCGCGUGCCCCCUCCUCUGCACCAUUGAUUUACGCUACCGCAAAGAUCUAUGGAGCGCCAACUUGUCUGCCGCGGCUACCUGAAGAACUUCACCGUCGUGAAAAUGCAUUGCCAACAUUCAUAUCAACGAGGCUGCCAGCCUCCGCUCUUUCCGCUUCAGUCAAGCCUGCAUCCCCGCCUACCAAAUCGUGACCAACCCUGCCAUUGUCGACAUUAGCCUCUGCUCCUGGGGACAUGGCUGCCGCUGCCAGGGCGCGGUCACCACAUGCGAUGAAUACAGGAGACCCUGCAAGCUGCACACAAGUUAUCUUGAUGCACUGAAAAACGUCUCCAACCUCACCGUGCCUACCCUCAGCAGGAAUGUCCUACCAUUACUUUACUUUGUUUCAUUCCAACGUGUUGAUUCUACUGCUCAGUUACUCAUAAGCUCCUUCUUUACUUUUGCAUUGCAGAGAGUUUCUCGCAAGGCUUGUGCCAAAUCAACAGCUGGAAAUGCUGCCUCGUGCAAAUUACAGAAUCUGAGAGAGGUACAGCUGCUGAUGUUUGCAAUGUACAACAAAAAUCUGGACAAUAUUAUGGAUUUCCUCCUGAUCUGCUGUAGCUCUCGAUUGGAGAGACUAUUUGUGCAGCUUCCAACAACGAGUAAUCAAUAUAAGCCUGACGAAGAACCCUCAGAAUCAGAGGAAGAUAGGUCAGAAAAAGUGGUCAGAGGAAAAUGAGGUAUAGGAACAUCGGUGUUGCCCAGGUCGCUGCAGCAUCAAUUCUGAAAGGGCAAGCUAUGGAAAUGGGGGAGUCAUCAAGACAGCAGCCCAAGAGUAAAGCAAAGGCAGUGACAUUCAAUAAAUCUGAGUUUCCACCGAUUAUGUAUAAAGGAAAAGGGAAGAUGAUAGCUAAACCUCAUGAGCAGCAGCCUAAGAAUACGGGUGGCGCUAUGGUCAUAUCGCCAUAUGCGUCCUGCUCAGUAGAAAGAGUCACCCCUGUUCAGAGUAAGCUCCGAGCUGACGCCAGAGAGUUUAUUCCUUUGUUGGUAAAUAAUCCGGUAAGGGAGGCUCCAAGGCAGCGCCUCGUCAGAAAGGGUUGCACUUGAAUCAGUCGGACCGUAGGAUUGGUCAAAUGCCAUUUUCUGAAGGUUCAGCACGCCAUCAAUCUACACAGAGAAGCUCUUGCCAAGUCCGAAACAAGUCAUUUGAGGUAUUUCAAGCAAUGCCAGUUGGUGUCGAGGCGGUGGCAGACGACACCAGCGAAACAUCCUCCACAACUAUACACUACAAGAGAAGAAAAACCCUCAUAGAGGGCCCUCGCCGAUGGGCACACGAUCAAAAGAAUUCAGAUAAUUAGGAACUUGGUUCAAGCUAUGAUGAGUCUUACAAUCCCCUCUCUGAUAUCACUCUGUCCAUCAGAGAAUUAGCUAGAGACGCAUGGAUCAGACAUAUAACCAUGGUGGUCAUAUGGAGUAGUUCUUGACCACAAAUGAGUCUCAUUUGGACGAGCUCGCUGCCCUGUGUAAUCAGAUGAGUAGUAGUCAGAACCCAGGGAAUGAAGGACAUGGUGCUCCUAGGUCUAGCAGCCAGCAAGGAGGAACUGAAAUCAACCUGGAGCCGAUCCAAAGAAUAAUUGCCCUUUGCCAAACUAAUUCAUCCCCUUGCCAUCUUGUUGAUCAGGUGCGACGCCAAAAUCGAUGUCAACAGUUGGUCAUGGGGACAUGAAUCGGAGGCAGAUGAGCUAGAGAAAGAGCUGUCUGAGGGAGAAAAGUCCGAUGAAGAUUAAUCAGAACAAGACGAGUCAGAUCACUCAAAGUUUGACGCAUCAGAGGAAGAGGUUCCAGAGGAAUAUCACUCAAAAGGAAGACGAAUCAGAGGAACAGGGGUCAGCGGAAGGUCAAUUAAAGGAAAACGGGUCAAAGAAAGAGCUAUCUGAUGGAGAGCAAUCAGAACAAGACGAAUUAGAGGAAAUGGAGUCACGGGAAAAUCACUCAAAGGUUGACGCAGCAGAAAAAGAGGUGUCAGAGGAAUAUCAUUCAAAGGAAGACGAGUCAGAGGAACAGGGUCAAUCAAAAGAAGAUGUGUCAAAGAAAGAGCUAUCUGAUGGAGGGCAAUCCGCAGAAGAGCCACUCUCGAUGGAAGAGCCACUAGGGAAUGGUUGUGAAAACCUUAUGUUGCUGAAGAUGGAGAAUUUUAAGGGCCACCUUGAGAUGCGGCUAGUAAGCUUUGUGCUGAAAAGGUCAGCCAGACUCAACCAAUUGAUUCUAUUUACUCCCAGCGAUCACCCAGAAGGGCUUCAUAAGGAUCAUCUGAAUACAUCCGAGUUUCUUGAAACAAAAGUACUGCCUCUCAGAAAGGCUUCUCCAAAUGCUCAGAUAAUUCUUAGCGAGCCUGAUGAUACUGCUGUCCAACCGUUGCAUUGGGAGACCUUUGUCAAGUAUUAAUUAUUUGUCAACUUGAUCAGGAUUAUUUGAAUACAUCCAAUUUUCUUGAAACAAAACUACUGCCUCUCUAAAAGGCCUCUCCAUAUGCCCAGAUAAUCCUCAGUAAGCCUGAUGAUACUGCAGUCCGGCCGUUGCAUUGGGAAAACUUUUGGUUAGAUGAUUUUAGAUAUCAAAGGCUAGCAACUUUGCGUCAGAUGAAGUGUGAGCUAAUCGUCAAGAUUUGCAUGAUUCUCUUGUUUUGUAGUCCGUAGAGAUCAACUUUAUGGAGUAUUUUGUCCAGGUCUCGAGGCCUUAUGUUGUGGCUUUUUACUUGACUCUAUUUCAAAUAUCAUGUUUACCGUCCCUACGAAGCAUUGUUGUCAUGUUGGUGUUUUGAUGAGAACAAGCUGUCUAUAUGUUACGCGCUGCUGUGCUGUUUUUAUAAAAACAACCUGAUUGAUUCAU